rnacentral:rRNA from 1 species
AACGAACGCUGGCGGCAUGCCUAACACAUGCCAGUCGAACGAGACCUUCGGGUCUAGUGGCGCACGGGUGCGUAACGCGUGGGAACCUGCCCUUAGGUUCGGAAUAACUCCCCGAAAGGGGUGCUAAUACCGGUUAAUGUCUUCGGACCAAAGAUUUAUCGCCUUUGGAUGGGCCCGCGUUGGAUUAGCUAGUUGGUAGGGUAAAAGCCUACCAAGGCGACGAUCCAUAGCUGGUCUGAGAGGAUGAUCAGCCACACUGGGACUGAGACACGGCCCAGACUCCUACGGGAGGCAGCAGUGGGGAAUAUUGGACAAUGGGCGAAAGCCUGAGACAGCAAUGCCGCGUGAGUGAUGAAGGCCUUAGGGUUGUAAAGCUCUUUUACCCGGGAUGAUAAUGACAGUACCGGGAGAAUAAGCACCGGCUAACUCCGUG